rnacentral:rRNA from 1 species
UAGGUGACUGCGGAGGAUCAUUACAGUGACUGCUGGUGCACCCCCCUCGGGGGCUCUGCCCGGUGUUACCCACCCGUGUCUAUCUACUCUUGUUGCUUUGGCGGGCCGCCUCACCGCUACGGGCUCUGCUCGUACGUGCCCGCCAGGGGACCAAACUCUGAAUGUUAGUGAUGUCUGAGUACUAUUUAAUAGUUAAAACUUUCAACAACGGAUCUCUUGGUUCUGGCAUCGAUGAAGAACGCAGCGAAAUGCGAUAAGUAAUGUGAAUUGCAGAAUUCAGUGAAUCAUCGAAUCUUUGAACGCACAUUGCGCCCUGUGGUAUUCCGCAGGGCAUGCCUGUUCGAGCGUCAUUACAAACCCUCAAGCCUGGCUUGGUGUUGGGGCCCGCGAUCUCGCGGCCCUUAAAAUCAGUGGCGGCGCCGGUUGGCUCUAAGCGUAGUAAUACUCCUCGCUAUAGGGUCCCGCCGGUGGCUGGCCAGAACCCCCCAUCUUUACAGGUUUGACCUCGGAUCAGGUAGGGAUACCCGCUGAACUUAAGCAUAUCAAUAAGCGGAGGAAAAGAAACCAACAGGGAUUGCCUCAGUAACGGCGAGUGAAGCGGCAACAGCUCAAAUUUGAAAGCUCCUACCAAGGCGCGUUGUAAUUUGUAGAAGAUGCUUUGGGUCUCGGUCCAGUCUAAGUUCCUUGGAACAGGACGUCAUAGAGGGUGAGAAUCCCGUAUGUGAUUGGUACCGGGGCCCGUGUAAAGCUCUUUCGACGAGUCGAGUUGUUUGGGAAUGCAGCUCAAAAUGGGUGGUAAAUUUCAUCUAAAGCUAAAUAUUGGCCAGAGACCGAUAGCGCACAAGUAGAGUGAUCGAAAGAUGAAAAGCACUUUGGAAAGAGAGUUAAACAGUACGUGAAAUUGUUGAAAGGGAAGCGCUUGCAAUCAGACUUGCGGGCGGUCGAUCAUCCGAGCUUCUGCCCGGUGCACUCGAUCGCUCUCAGGCCAGCAUCGGUUUCGGUGGUGGGAUAAAGACCGUGGGAAUGUGGCUCCUCGGAGUGUUAUAGCCUACGGUGGCAAUGCCGCCUACCGGGGACCGAAGGACC